ACCCGCUGAACUUAAGCAUAUCAAUAAGCGGAGGAAAAGAAACCAACAGGGAUUGCCCUAGUAACGGCGAGUGAAGCGGCGACAGCUCAAAUUUGAAAUCUGGCUCUUUUAGAGUCCGAGUUGUAAUUUGCAGAGGGCGCUUUGGCUUUGGCAGGGGUCCAAGUUCCUUGGAACAGGACGUCACAGAGGGUGAGAAUCCCGUACGUGGUCGCUGGCUAUUGCCGUGUAAAGCCCCUUCGACGAGUCGAGUUGUUUGGGAAUGCAGCUCUAAAUGGGAGGUACAUUUCUUCUAAAGCUAAAUAUUGGCCAGAGACCGAUAGCGCACAAGUAGAGUGAUCGAAAGAUGAAAAGCACUUUGGAAAGAGAGUCAAACAGCACGUGAAAUUGUUGAAAGGGAAGCGCUUGCAGCCAGACUUGCUUACAGUUGCUCAUCCGGGCUUUUGCCCGGUGCACUCUUCUGUAGGCAGGCCAGCAUCAGUUUGGGCGGUAGGAUAAAGGUCUCUGUCACGUACCUCUCUUCGGGGAGGCCUUAUAGGGGAGACGACAUACUACCAGCCUGGACUGAGGUCCGCGCAUCUGCUAGGAUGCUGGCGUAAUGGCUGU
rnacentral:rRNA from 1 species